CAGCAGCCGCGGUAAAACGGAGGGUGCAAGCGUUAAUCGGAAUUACUGGGCGUAAAGCGCACGCAGGCGGUCUGACAAGUCAGAUGUGAAAUCCCCGGGCUUAACCUGGGAACUGCAUUUGAAACUGUCAGGCUGGAGUCUUGUAGAGGGGGGUGGAAUUCCAGGUGUAGCGGUGAAAUGCGUAGAGAUCUGGAGGAAUACCGGUGGCGAAGGCGGCCCCCUGGACAAAGACUGACGCUCAGGUGCGAAAGCGUGGGGAGCAAACAGGAUUAGAUACCCCAGUAGUCCCUGUCCUUAUACA
rnacentral:rRNA from 1 species